GAUCUCAAAUCAGGUAGGGAUACCCGCUGAACUUAAGCAUAUCAAUAAGCGGAGGAAAAGAAACUAACAAGGAUUCCCCUAGUAAUGGCGAAUGAAGCGGGAAAAGCUCAAAUUUGAAAUCUGGCCGUUCCGCGGUCCGAGUUGUAAUUUCAAGAAGCGUCUUCGGAUGCGGCCCGGGUUUAAGUUCCUUGGAACAGGACGUCAUAGAGGGUGAGAACCCCGUCUUUGGCCCGGUGACCGUGUUCAUGUGAAGCGUUUUCGAAGAGUCGAGUUGUUUGGGAAUGCAGCUCUAAAUGGGUGGUAAAUUCCAUCUAAAGCUAAAUAUUGGUGGGAGACCGAUAGCGAACAAGUAGAGUGAUCGAAAGGUGAAAAGAACUUUGAAAAGAGAGUUAAACAGUACGUGAAAUUGUUGAAAGGGAAGCGC
rnacentral:rRNA from 1 species